UUCUAAACCAAACCAACAACAAUUAAAUCACAUAUCCUCCUUACCAAGCCGCAAGGCCACUCAUAAAACCUAAAAAGAAGUCCUUCAUACCUUUUGCAUCAUGGCUUUGCAAGAAUAAUGCUAAUACUUCAUCCCGAAACUUGGUGAGCUGAUUUUUACUUGCUAAGAGCCCAAUAAUUAAUGUCACAAUAUUAUUAUUAAAGUAACUAUCAGAGGCUACAUACCUACCGCACCAAAAUAUAGCUGGUUUUUCAAGCCCCAGUCUAAUCUGCUCAAGCUAUUACCGUAAACUCCUAGCUAUGAAAAAUAAUUAAGGACAAGCUUAAUUAUUCUUUUUAUUUAAAAAAACAAUUAUAACUAUGUAGGCCUAAAACCAGCCAUCAUAACACUACGUUAUAGUAUACAUAAAUUAAAAUCCCAAAAAAAUAUUAAAUCCUUGAAAUAAAUUAUAAAACACCCAAUAAUUUAAACUAUGCAAAGAUCAGUAUUACGUCCUCACUAACCACACUUUCCCACACAUAUAUGAGUAAGGAACUCGGCAACCUUUUAUUCCGACUGUUUAACAAAAACAUUGCCUGUAGCACCCCCUAUUACAGGUACACCCUGCCCAGUGUUAUUAUCAACGGCCGCGGUACCCUGACCGUGCAAAGGUAGCAUAAUAAUUUGCCUUUUAAUUGAAGGCUAGUAUGAAAGGGCAAACGAGAAUAAGACUGUCUCACUCAUACCUAUAAAAAUUUAUCUCCAGGUGAAGAAGCCUGGAUUAAUAUAAAAGACAAGAAGACCCUGUCGAGCUUUAGCAUAACAUAUGAGCUUACUCCAUCUACACCAUUCCUCACAUCCAAGCUUUUGUUGGGGCGACAACGGAACCCAUCAAUCUUCCGUGAAACUUCAGACCUUACGUCACCUAAAUGAUCCUUUACUGAUCACAAGAUCCAGCUACCGCAGGGAUAACAGACUAAUCUUCCUUCGGAGCCCAAAUCUACAGGAAGGCUUGGCACCUCGAUGUUGGCUUAGGAAAAUCCCCUAGAUGAAGCAGUCUAGGAAGUGGGUUUGUUCAACCCUUAAUAUCCUACAUGAGCUGAGUUCAGACCGGCGUAAGCCAGGUUAGAUUCUAUCUUUAUACAAAAAUAAGCUUAUUAGUACGAAAGGACCAUAAGCUAUAAAUACAUUUACCAACACAGAAAUUUAUAAAUCUACAAUUAAUUAAAUAAUCACU
rnacentral:rRNA from 1 species